rnacentral:rRNA from 1 species
GACGAACGCUGGCGGCGUGCUUAACACAUGCAAGUCGAGCGGUAAGGCCCUUUCGGGGGUACACGAGCGGCGAACGGGUGAGUAACACGUGGGUGACCUGCCCUCAGCUCUGGGAUAAGCCUGGGAAACCGGGUCUAAUACCGGAUAUGACUCCAUGACGCAUGUUGUGGGGUGGAAAGCCUUGUGCGGCUGAGGAUGGGCCCGCGGCCUAUCAGCUUGUUGGUGGGGUNAUGGCCUACCAAGGCGGCGACGGGUAGCCGGCCUGAGAGGGCGACCGGCCACACUGGGACUGAGACACGGCCCAGACUCCUACGGGAGGCAGCAGUGGGGAAUCUUGCGCAAUGGGCGAAAGCCUGACGCAGCGACGCCGCGUGAGGGAUGACGGCCUGGUGUAAC